GUGGAUGUAGCUCAGUCGGCAGAGCCCCUGGUUGUGGUCCAGGUGGUCGUGGGUUCGAAUCCCAUCAUCCACCCCA
rnacentral:tRNA from 1 species